AACGAACGCUGGCGGCAGGCCUAACACAUGCAAGUCGAACGAAGUCUUCGGACUUAGUGGCGCACGGGUGAGUAACACGUGGGAAUAUACCUUACGCUGGGGGAUAACAUCGGGAAACUGAUGCUAAUACCGCAUACGCCCUUCGGGGAAAGAUUUAUCGGCGAAAGAUUAGCCCGCGUCCGAUUAGCUAGUUGGUGAGGUAAUGGCUCACCAAGGCUCCGAUCGGUAGCUGGUCUGAGAGGAUGACCAGCCACACUGGGACUGAGACACGGCCCAGACUCCUACGGGAGGCAGCAGUGGGGAAUAUCGGACAAUGGGCGCAAGCCUGAUCCAGCCAUGCCGCGUGAGUGAUGAAGGCCUUAGGGUUGUAAAGCUCUUUCACCCACGACGAUGAUGACGGUAGUGGGAGAAGAAGCCCCGGCUAACUUCGUG
rnacentral:rRNA from 1 species